rnacentral:lncRNA from 1 species
GCCCCUCUCUCUCCAGGGCCUCCUGGAGGGCGGCUACCUCGGCCGUCUUCGCUUGGAGGCGAGCAACCUUGGCCUGGCAGCGUUCCUCCGCCUGAAGGAGGUCCCUUCUCAUGCGGCUCGUCGCCUCGACAUAGGCGAAGAGCUGGUGCCCAAUCUGCAAGGAUGGAUAGAGAAUUACGACUAAGGCCGAGUGACCAUGCAAAUAAACAUCCACUUACCUCAAGGAAGGACC